rnacentral:rRNA from 1 species
UACGUAGGGUGCAAGCGUUGUCCGGAAUUAUUGGGCGUAAAGAGCUUGUAGGCGGUUUGUCGCGUCUGCUGUGAAAUUUCGGGGCUCAACCCCGAACUUGCAGUGGGUACGGGCAGACUAGAGUGUGGUAGGGGAGACUGGAAUUCCGCGUGUAGCAGUGAAAUGCGUAGAUAUGCGGAGGAACACCGAUGGCACGAAGGGCAAUCCC